AAGUGGCCACUUCCAAUGUUACUGGCAAAGAGAGAUGCUCCAAUCUGGAAACACAAAGGGAAAGUCUGGUUUCCUAGACUCCAUGGACACAUACACUGCAUUUUUCAAGGAUAUACAUAUAUCUAAAUACAUAGGUUAGAAGACAGAUUGGAAGGAUAUAUAUUAAAAACCCAAGAUUGGAAGCCUGGAAGGAAAAAGGAGAAUGAGACUGUGAAUGGGAGAUGAAGGAGAAAACAUCAGGUGAGAAGACUGAAGACCAGAACAGUGAUUUGCCCAACGUCCCACAGCCAAACAUGACCAACAUC